rnacentral:lncRNA from 1 species
UAUUAUGUAUUAUGUAUAAAGAUUCUUAUCUUUUAUAUGUAAAAAUAGGCUGCACUGUCUUUGUGUAACUGAAAUGUAUGCCAUCUUUUCUUCUUGAUUCACAGGUAGCACAUUAUACUAUGAUGAUGAAUCUCUACAAUGAACAAUGGCUGUCAGGGAGGAGGAGGCAGAGGAAGACGCAGAAGAGGAUGAGGAGGAGGAAGAAUCAUUCAUAUAGAUAUUUAAUCUUUUGA